GCUGGAGGGGAGGGCGAGGAAGGCUUGGCGUGGGGACGCCCGUCGAGCCUCUCAGUGAGGAAUGAGAGGCCAGCUUCUCCUGCGGGGUAUGAAGGAGGAACUGUAUCUCCUAUAUAUAUUAAGUUUCAUUUAUAAAGACAUCAGAGAGCACCUGAGAAUGUUUCAAGGUCACCAAAAGCUUUCUGAAAAUGCCUUUCUGCAAAGAAGGUUUCCAGAGAUAGAAGAUAACUCAGGAAGCUUAGAAGAGGUCAGCCUGGGAAGACAGGAUUCUUUCUCCCCACCCGUGACUCUGCAGGAAGCAAUACCCUCCCCUCUGGGCAAGGUCGACCCUCCAAGUCUAGAUGAGAAGAGUUCCCUCUGUCUGCUCUUUCCUCUGCCUGAUGACCCAGAGGCUUUGCAGCUGUGAUCCUGGCAGCCCCUGGCCGCCUCAGGGAGCUGCAGAAUUCAAACCCUGGAAAUGGAGCUCUGCUUGCAGCUGCACCUGGGGCCUGACCUGCUUAGGACAGGCCUGUCUGGACCUAAGAGAACCCCACUGCCACCCACUCAGCUACUCCCUAACAGACUGCAGAGACCAAGUCUUUUUCAUUUAUUUAUAUCCAUUGAUUUCUCGAGUCAUUGAAACUCAAUAUUUGCUGAGCACCUACAAUGUGCCAGGCACUGUGAUAGGCACUGAAGAAAGGGCAAAGGACGAGCAGAUAAAUUUCCUACUUGCAGGGAACAACGUGGUAGUGAGUAAAAUGAGACAUUGCAAAUAAACACAUAAAUAUAUAAUAUGUCAACUGGCAAUAAUUGAUGCGAAGAAUGAUUAAGCAAAACAAGGAAAUGCAGAGACAGGGAAGGAGCAUCUAUCUGGUAUGAAGUAGUCAGAGAAGGCCUCUCUGGUCAGAUGACAUUUGGGCAGAACCUGGGGCCUGUCUCAGCACCACCUGUUCCUUCCUCGGCCACUUGCUCCCUGCAGCCACCACAAGCCCCUGUGGUUUUCCUGCCUGAGGCUCACCAGCCACAGGCCUAGAAUAUCUGGCUUCUCUCCCCACGUCCAAACUCAGCUGAAAUGCCAAACUGCAGGACCUUGUUUCCUGAGCAACUGCCAAUGGGUCUGAAUGAUGCAACUCGGAAAGGAAGAGGAUUUCAUUCCCCCUGAAUGGACUUUGCACCAGUGGGAGACAGGAAACAGGAGAUUGGAGGAUACUGGGCAGCUGAACUGCCUCACCCUUUCCCCCUGCCCUGUCUGGUGCACAAUUUCUCCACACAGCCUGCUGUGUGUGGCCAAGCCUGUGCGCUGACUGAGUGUUAUGGGUUGAACUAUGUUCCUCAGAAAGAUGUGUCGAAGUCCUAACCCCCAGUAACUGUGAAUGUGGCUUUAUAGUAUUUGGAAACAGGGUCUUUGCUGAUGCAAUCAAGUUAAGAUGAAGUCAUUAAGAGGGUGGGGGCCUAAUCCAAUCUCUUGUCCUUAGAAGGAGAAAGAGACACAUCAGGGGAAGAUGGUGAGGUGACAAUGGAGGCAGAGAUUGGAGCAAUGCAUCUAAAUGCUAGGCAACACCACAUAGAGCUGCAAACACCAAGGCUAGAAGAGGCAGGGAAGGAGCCUUCCCCUACAGGUUUCAGAGGGAGCAUGGCCUCACCAUACCUUUACUUCAGACUUCUAGCAUCCAGAACUGUGACACAACACAUUUCUCUUGUUCUGAGUGACAACAGUGUGUGGUGUGUUAUUACAGCUGCUCUAGAAACUAACAUAUCGAGCAGCCAGCUGUGUGGGAUUGUACCUCCCAAGUAACCCUCUAAGACUUAACCUUUGCCCAGGGCUCUGUCUCUAGAGAACUGUGACAAUGAUAGGUAGACCUGAAUAAAGCGAAGGAUGAUAUCUGCAGGGAUAUUUGAGGACAGGGAGUGCUGACAAGGGAGGAGCCAGUGCAAAGGCCCCGAGGUGGCAGUAUGCUUGGUGUGUUGGAGGAGGAGGAAGGUGGCCAGGCUGUUUGGGGAGUGAAUAAGGGGAAGAGUGCUCAGAGGAGAAGUCAGAGAAGGGGCCAAAGACAUGUUCUCUAGGGCCAGAAAGGCCUUUGGAUCUUUUCGACAUUAUCUUCUUGACAUGUAAUUUAUAUAGUAGUAAAAUGAACAAAAUGGGUGACUAUUUUGUGAAUUUUUUAGAUACAUAAAACCAUGUGAUCACUAUCCAGAUCAAAUGUUGAACAUUUCCAUCACCCCAGAGAGUUCACUCCUGCUACCUUCCAGUCAAUACAACUUACCAAUCCUGAGGCAAUCAGUACUCUCUCUUUUAUCAUCAUAAAUUUGUUUUAACCUGUUCCUUAAUGGCAUAUAAAUGAAACUACAUAGCAUGCUUUUGCUCAAAAUAGUGCUUGUGAGGUUCAUCCAGGUUGCUGUAUGUAUACUUCAAUUAUUAUUAUUGCUGAGUAGUAUUCCAUUGCCUGGAUAUAUCACAAAUUAUUUAUCCAUUAUUCUGCUGAAUAUUUGAGUUAUUUGCAGUUUAGGCCUAUAAUAAAUGAAGCCGUUAGGAACAUUUAUGUGUUCCUCUUAUUUUGGUUGUAUGCAAUCAUUUCUCUUGGUAUAAACCUAGCAGUGUAUUUUCUGGGUCAACUGGCUUAGGUUUAGGUUAACUGUAUUCGUUUAUACCAUUUUAUACUCCCGUCAGCAAUAUAUGAGUUCCAGGUAUUCUGCAUCCUCACCAACACUUGGAGUCUUUCUGGUAGGUGUGUAGUGGCAUUGCAUUGUGCUUUCAAUAUGCCUUUUUCUGCUGACUAAUGCACUCCUUUUUAUAUGCCUAUUAUUCACAUAUCUCCUUUUAUGAAGUAGGUAUUCAAGUCUUUUGUUCACAUUUUAUGUUUUUGUUAUGGCCACAUCUCACUUCCAGAAUCUGUAUUGGUU